AAGCACUGAUUUUGGAUAUCUUUUCUCUUCAAAGGGAGGAAUUUUGUUUUGUUUGGGAUGGAAACUUCACGUAGGCAUGCAAAAACAAUACACACAUGCACGCACACACGCUCACACACACACACACACACACAAACACGGCUGCCUCCAGUCUCAAUGCCCAGAUAGGCAGGAGAGGAUGUAUCCAGAAUAACCGUUCCAGUCUCUUCCCUUCCAGAUGUGAAGCUGCCCGAGGCUGGAAGUGGGAGCACUUCGUUAUGCAAUUUCAUGAGUUCUGCUGGAGCUCUCUCUGAAGCAUGGCAUGACAUGACACUUUUUGGACCUUUAAGCUGGAGCAUCCUGUGCAUCGUGCUGAGGACUUGGCCACCUUGGUGAUAUCUGUGGGCCGACUGGGUGGGUUGAGGUAGGGAUGAGAUGAUGAGCCUGCGAAGAGAGGCUGCUUACCCUACACCUGAAGAUAUUGAAAACAUGCUUGAUGCUUUUCUGAGUGUUCCAACAAAAUUAGUUUGCCAACUUUAGAAUGUCUGAGGCUUCUAGGAUGGAGACAGAAGGAAAUUGAGCAAGGUGUGGAACAUCCCAGGCUCAGGGAAACCAGCCGGGACUCUGCCAUCACUUGAAGCCCCUGUGUAGCUUCAUGUCUCAUGAGAUGAUGGCCAAGUUUAAAUUCUGGGCCUCUCAGCCAUGCUGUGAAAAGCUGCCUCCCACAAAGCAUGGUCACUAUGUAAGUUAGGGCCUGGAGCUGAAACAACACCUACCCAUCUCGUUCCUCCUUCAAGGGGGGAUCUCCCUAUCCACAGUUUCAUGUCAUUUGGCCUUGGAGCUACCAAUGCAGAGCAUGACAAUGUCUUUCUCAAUACUUUAUUCCUUAUUCUUGUGACAGAGGGAUAGUCUAUUAUAUGGGCUUUUUUAUGAUCAGCAAUAUCAUCCAGUAUCAAUGAUUUGUUAACCACAUUUUUUUUUUUUUUUUUUUUUUUUUUUAAGAUUUUAUUUUUUCCUUUUUCUCCCCAAAGCCCCCCGGUACAUAGUUGUAUAUUCUUCGUUGUGGGUUCCUCCAGCUGUGGCAUGUGGGACGCUGCCCCAGCGUGGUCCGACGAGCAGUGCCAUGUCCGCGCCCAGGACCCGAACCGACGAAACACUGGGCUGCCUGCAGUGGAGCACGCGAACUCAACCACUCGGCCACGGGGCCAGCCCCUGUUAACCACAUUCUUAAAGUUAAUAUGUAAUGACAGGAACUAAGUUAAUUAUACCUGUGACUAUGUUAAUAAAAGUACCCUUUAAUGUCA
rnacentral:lncRNA from 1 species